UGGGGAAUAUUGGACAAUGGGCGCAAGCCUGAUCCAGCCAUGCCGCGUGAGUGAUGAAGGCCUUAGGGUUGUAAAGCUCUUUCGCCGGUGAAGAUAAUGACGGUAACCGGAGAAGAAGCCCCGGCUAACUUCGUGCCAGCAGCCGCGGUAAUACGAAGGGGGCUAGCGUUGCUCGGAAUCACUGGGCGUAAAGCGCACGUAGGCGGAUCGUUAAGUCAGGGUGAAAUCCUGGAGCUCAACUCCAGAACUGCCCUUGAUACUGGCGAUCUCGAGUUCGAGAGAGGUUGGUGGAACUCCGAGUGUAGAGGUGAAAUUCGUAGAUAUUCGGAAGAACACCAGUGGCGAAGGCGGCCAACUGGCUCGAUACUGACGCUGAGGUGCGAAAGCGUGGGGAGCAAACAGGGUUAGAUACCCUGGUAGUCCACGCCGUAAAACGAUGGAUGCUAGCCGUUGGGGGGUUUACCUCUCAGUGGCGCAGCUAACGCCUUAAGCAUCCCGCCUGGGGAGUACGGUCGCAAGAUUAAAACUCAAAUGAAUUGACGGGGUCAUAGCUGUUUCCU
rnacentral:rRNA from 1 species